rnacentral:rRNA from 1 species
ACGUAGGGGGCAAGCGUUGUUCGGAAUUAUUGGGCGUAAAGGGCAUGUAGGCGGUUAUGUAAGCCUGGUGUGAAAUCCUGCAGCUUAACUGUAGAAUUGCAUUGGGUACUGCAAGACUGUGAAUCACAGAGGGGAAACUAGAAUUCCAGGUGUAGGGGUGGAAUCUGUAGAUAUCUGGAAGAAUACCGGUGGCGAAGGCGGGUUUCUAGCUGAUGAUUGACGCUGAGGUGCGAAAGUGCGGGGAGCAAACAGGAUUAGAUACCCUGGUAGUCCGCACAGUAAACGAUGUACACUAGGUGUCGGGGCAUGAGUCUCGGUGCCGAAGCUAACGUGAUAAGUGUACCGCCUGGGAAGUAUGCCCGCAAGGGUG